GAGGGUGUAGCUCAGUGGUAGAGCACAUGCUUAGCAUGCACAAGGUCCUGGGUUCAAUCCCCAGUCCCUCCA
rnacentral:tRNA from 1 species